rnacentral:rRNA from 1 species
AUUGAACGCUGGCGGCAGGCCUAACACAUGCAAGUCUAGCGAGCGGCGGACGGGUGAGUAAUGUAUGGGGACUGCCCGAUAGAGGGGGAUAACUACUGGAAACGGUAGCUAAUACCGCAUACUAUCGGAUAACCCAUAUGGGAUUAGCUAGUAGGUGAGGUAAAGGAUCACCAAGGCAACGCACCGGAGCUGGUUUGAGAGGACGACCAGCCAAAUGGGGACUGAGACACUGCCCAGACUCCUACGGAGGCAGCAGUGGGGAAUGUUGGACGAUGGAGGAAACCCUGAUCCAGCCAUCCCGCGUGUAUGAUGAAGGCCUUCGGGUUGUAAAGUACUUUUGGCAGAGAAGCGGUAUCUGCAGAAUAAGCACCGGCUAACUACGUGCCAGCCGCCGCGGUAAUAC